UGGCGCACGGGUGCGUAACACGUAACUAACCUACCUAUAACUGGGGGAUAGCCCGCCGAAAGGCGGAUUAAUACCGCAUAAGCUCUGAGGCUGGCAUCAGCUUUUUAGUAAAGAUUUAUUGGUUAUAGAUGGGGUUGCGGGUCAUUAGCUAGUUGGUUGGGUAACGGCUGACCAAGGCGACGAUGACUAGGGGAGCUGAGAGGCUGGUCCCCCACACGGGCACUGAGAUACGGGCCCG
rnacentral:rRNA from 1 species